UUUUUUUUGUUUUUUUGUUUUUUUUGUUUUUUUGUUUUUUUUUUUGAAAGAUGCCUGACAGAAUAUGGCUAUAGGAUUUGGCAGAAACUUUCUCCAAAAUGAAGUGUGCCUGUCACUUCAAAGGAAUAAAACUGAGAGUAUUUUUUGCCAAUGAUAAAAUUUACAUUUUCAAGCAAAAAUUAGAAUUUUAGAAAACUUGUCUUGCUCACUGAGAACUGGACAGCUUGUCAAUGCCUAAAGACUUUUCUGGUUUCCUGGAACCAAAAUUUCAGAAUCUGUGGUCUAGAAUAACUCAACCUGUAGGUCUUUGAUCAUAACUUACUAGCCAGGCAUAACAUCUUUAAUGUGUAAACCUAACAUCUUUAAAGUAUAAGCCAGAUUACUUUUUAUCUGUGUGUCUAAUCUGACACUGACCUACCCUGAGGCUCCUGGGUUGUGUUUGUGAUGGCAUUUAUCAUGCCUCCCGGGGCAUGACUGAAGAAUGUUCUCAGUCCACUUCUGAGAGGAGCUUAGUGUUACUUGAAAACAUGGAGAUUUUGCCUUUCCAAGUCCUUCAUAAAGAUGUGAAGUAGGGACGGAAACAAAUCUGACUAGGAACCAUGAGGUUGCAGGUUUGAUCCCUGGCCUCACUCAGUGGGGUAAGAAUCAGGUGCUGCCAUGAGCUGUGGUGUAUGUAGGUCGCAGACGCGGCUUGGAUCCUGCACUGCUGUGGCUGUGGCAUUGGCCAGCAGGUGUAACUCCGUUUUGACCCUAGCCUGGGAACCUCCGUAUGCCGUGGGUGUGGCCCAAAAAAAGCAGAGCGGGAGGGAGAGAGAGAGAGAGAGAGAAGGAAAGAAAGAAAGAAAGAAAGAAAGAAAGAAAGCUAGAGAAGGAAAGAAAGAAAGAAAGAAAGAAAGAAAGAAAGAAAGAAAAGAAAGGUAGAAUUUCCCUCUAUACCUAUUACCCUUAAAGGCCACCCAUUUAACUCUAUGUCUUUGGCCUCAAAGACGUCUGCUCUUGACCAAACAUUGCCCUUAGUUUCAUGAAAUCUUAACAUUAGGAUUGUCUGUGGUGUGCAGUCUAGUGAAAGGCUGAUAAUUGUCCAAAUUGACCACAUCCAUAGAGACCCCAUUAUCAAUAGGUAUACGGAACUCCUCAGGGGUUCCUAGGGCACUUUUCAGGCAUGAUUUCUCCUUAUAGGACAAUUUCCCCCAAGGGUUUAUGCUUGGUUCAGUAUUCCUUGGUCUUGCAGCCAGAGCGAUUUACGCCAGAGUCCUACUCACUCCGAGAUGGCUCGCGUUAAAAUGGCAUCCCCUGUUCUAUGUGGUCCUUGAAUUCCUGACUAAUUUUUGAUAUGAAUUUGAACUGACAGAAGUUAUAUGCUUUCCUGUUUCUGUCAUUUGUGGAAUGUUUCCCUUCUCCCAUGAAACCCUUUACCUCUAGUGAUUUCAUUUGCUGCUCUAGUGAACAACAUAGGAUUUUUCCUCCAACAUCUAAUUUGUAAAAUUGGUGACAUUCAUUUCUUAAGAAGGUAUUUUUAAACUCUUUGUGUUAUUUUUCAAGUGAACUACAGGUAUUUGUUUCAAUCUAGCAAUUGAGUCUUAUUUCCUUUUUAAAAUUAAGCAUCUUAAUGGAUUUUUUUUCUUCCUUUUCCUCUCCCUCUAGAUUCUGAAUUCAAUCAUGUUGUCACUGUUAUGUAACAGUUCACCCACAGCUACUUUCUGUAGCUAUUCCUGAUCACCACUUAGGACAAAAUACAAUUUUUUUUUUCCCCCUGUGGAUUUAAAGACUUAACUUUUUUUAAAGAAAUAAUUUGUAUUAUCCCAAACUCUUUAUUUCUGGAUCUGCUCCCAAUUCAAGGAGAAGUGCUGCAUUUGCAUAAAUCCUUCUUUGAGGGUAAGUCCCUGGCUGUUAUCAUUUGGGUCUGAUUUUGUAGCUUCCCUUCUUACUAUAAAAUGUCAACUCACACUCAUCACUUUAUGCAGUAAAUGUGUAUUGAACAUAUACUGGAAUGAGUGCUCUAAGGACACAAAUGUGAAAGAUGAUAUGAAAGACCAUGCUCUCUGACCUUCCAAGAGUCCAUUCUAAUAGAGGAGACAAAGGCUGACAUGAGCCACUCUGACUGGCACUAACAAAGGGCUUUGGGAGCCCAGAGGAGGGCGGCAGGAACUGUGGUACUAUUGCUGUGUUACUGAAGGGGGCUGUGCCUUCAGGGUCUCUAUUGACCUCUUUGUAUAGACUUUAUUCUCCUGAACUAUACCGAUCUUUGCAUCUAACAGUUUCAAGUGACAAGUGCAAGACCGUUUGUGUCCAUCCACCUCAAAAUGUCAUAUUUGACAUCCUUCUUAGUAUUACGCUUCUGGUGGGUUCUUUGGCAGUCAACCACCUGCCCAGCUUCUUCUAAUGCAUGCCUGGAACCCCACUGCCUCCCAGCACUGCAAACAUGCGUCCAGUGCCUUUGGUGCUGGGCUCUACUGCCCUUCUUGCAGUCACUGGAGAAGUUCUAGAAGCUGGGGCAAUAUUUUAAUCCAAUCUUUGAGGUCUGAGAAAGUGGUCAAUUACAGUUCUUUUAAAGCAUUUGUUAUGGCCUGUCUCUUUGGCUUAGCCCUCGGGAGAGGGACUUGGUAAAAUACUCUGCAAAGUCAGCAAGGAGGUGGAGAGAUGACUUAAGAGUCAUCACCAUAUGCAGGGAAUUCCCAUCAUGGCCCAGUGGUUAACAAACCCAACUAGUAUCCAUGAGGAGGCGGGUUUGAUCCCUGGCUCGAUCAGUGGGUUAAGGAUCCAGUAUUCCCAUGAGCUGUGGUGUAGGUUGCAGACAUGGCUUGGAUCCCACGUUGCUGAGGCUGUGGUGUAGGCCGGCAGCUCCAGCUCUGACUCAACCCCUAGCCUGGGAACCCCAUAUACCACCAGUGCUGCCCUGAAAAAACAAAAGACAAGAAAAAAAAGAGUCAUCACCAUAUGUAAUGAGCACUCAUAAAUACAUGUUUUCUCCUAAGAGUAAAUGCUCUACCUUCCUGGAGGUGUACUGAUCCCAGGGGUUGGGAAACUCUUUAUCUCCUCCAUGUUGAGCUAUAUGACCCAGAGGUACUAGGAUCUGACUAUAACUUCAAAGUUCCUUCAUUAUUUAUCCUAGGAAUAGAAUCCCCCAUACAAAUAGGAAUCUUGAUGGAUAUGGCCUGUUGCCAUGUGAUGUGGGUGGAACUAGUAUCCAGGAGAGCAGGGAUGGUGUGUGUUUUGCUCAUCACUGUAACACUAAUGCCUGGUACAUAGUAGGUACUCAAUAAACAGUUUUGCCUAGCAAACCUGACAGAGUGAUCAACCUUCCUGGUUUGCCUGAGGCUGAGAGGCUUUGGAGGACAUGGAACUUUCAGUGGUAAAACCAGGAAGUCUUGAACAAAUUGGGUCAUUUGGUCACUCUGCUUAUUAGUGGAUCCAAAUGGAAGAGAGAAUUUGAGUGUCCAUGUAUGUUGAAAAAUUCAGUUUAGUCUACUUCCUUUGUAGAAGAAAAACCAUUUCUUCCCUAAUGUGCGUUACUUCCCUGUGGUUUUUCCUUUACUGUUCACACAAAAUAUUUCACUUGUGAUCGCCAAAUAUGUGAGGACUUCCCCCCACACUAAGCAAUUCUCUCCAACGCCAGGUGGAUGACCUACAUUUUAACUCAAGUCUGACACUAUUUACGGGCAGAUAGUUCAGAUCCCAUAGGUCAGGAUCUCACUCCUACAAGACUGCUUCCCCCACCCCCUUGGCCCCAAACAUUCAGAGGCCAAUCAAAAGCCAGGUUAUGUAUUGCCUGUGCUUCUGAUGAACCAGCGACAAUUGGCAGUUCCAAUGACUCUCUCUUUAGGUUUGAUUAAUUUGCUAGAGUGGCUUGUGGAACUCAGAGAAAACUCACUUAUGUAUAUUAAAUGAUAUGAUAAAAGAUAUAGAUGAAGAAUCAGCUGAAGAGCACUUCUGAUCACAGGAGCUCAUGUCUUCAUGGAGGCGGAGGGCAUCGCCCUUCUGAUGAGGAUGUGUUCACCCACCUGGAAGCUUCCCAAACCCCAAACUAUUGGGAUUUGGGGAGGGGGGCUUCCUCACAUAGGCAUAAUCUAUUAUUAAUUCCAUUUCCAGCCCCUCUUUCCUCUCUGGAGGAUGAAGGGUGGAGCUGAAAAUUCCAAGCUUCUAAUCAUGGCUUGGUCUUUCUAGUGACCAGUCCAAGCAGGAGCCCCGCUAGAGUCACCUCAUUAGAACAAAAGAUGCUCCUCGUGCCUGAAGCACCAAGGAAAUUACAAGGGUUUUAGGUGCUCUGUGCCAGGAUCUGGGAGCAGAAACCCAUACAUAUUUUCUCUUAUCUCACACCAUGGUUAACCAAGGAAUGUUGCAUUUAGAAUUUAAAAAAAGAAAGUGAAAGAAUUUUCAUUGUUUGUUUUGGUAGGUUAUUAACCAAAUCAGGUUAUCUUAAUGAAACAGUGCUUCUCCAUAAUAAAAAUUAUACAGUGACAUUUUAGAAUCUAUGACAACAUUAAAACCACCAAGAAUUUGAAGAACUUAUAAAUAUAAGAUUCUCUGCACACCAUGCCAACACAAUCUUACAGCAUCCCAAAGUGAGAAGCCAUAAAAGAAUUUUCUUCAUUAAAUUGCAAGUAACUGCAAUGUCUUUUCUCCCAAAAGUAAUCUGAAAAAAAUCAAAGGUCCUGUUGCUCUGGAAAUGAAAUAAUAGUGAAAGAAUACUCAUCUAAUAAAACAACUCCUUCUGGUGAGGAAUAUAAGUAAAGAAUUUGCAUUGCAUUCAAUACUUAAUAAUUAAUUUUUCUGAAAUACCUCAGCCACAUAGAUUUUCUAUUUCAAAUGUAUAUUUGUUAUAUUCAAAAUGCAGGGAAGGGGAGCAGCAGCAUAGCCUAAUCAAUAAGUAAAUAAUACCAUUUACCAAAAAGUGUCCUAUCAUUUUCCAUGACUUACCUAGCCACAGACAUACACAAAUUCCUUCAUCAUUCCUAUGUAAUUUGUCACUUCCAACUGAAAUCUUAGUCUCAUGUGUGGCUUCUUUGCCUCUAGCAGAUAAGUCCUGAAGAGUCCACCAUUAUGAUACUUUUCUAGUUCUUUUCUUCUGCCCAAGUCGAUCCUUUUUGGGUUGGUUAACCAAGCAGUGAUGUAAGUAUUGUUAUCCAUUUACUUAUGAGGAAACCAAGGCUCAGAAAGUUUGGAUACACUGAAUGAGGUCGUUCAGCUCCUGAGGUGUAGAAUUCAGAUUCAGUUCCACUCAGUCUCUCUCUAAAGGCUGUGUCUUACCACAGUGAACAUCCCAACAAGGCUUGGGUCAUUUAUGAUAAAUGAAUAGUUUGGACCCAAAUAAUAAGAAAGUGCAUUUUCCUGUUUCUAACUAAUAAGAAAUCUAAGAAAAUUAACUUGUAUAAACGUGUAAUCCUACUUUUAGAUUUUAUUAUGGACAUGAUUUUAUAACUUCAAAUCUUGAUUAAGCUCAAUUAAUAAGCUUCUUAUCUAAUAAUUUUGUUUGCCCCUCUCCCCAAAUAAUAAAACUCACCACUUUGUAGAUAAACCUGUUCUCUUAUUUUAGCGUCAGUGUAUAUUAGUAGUUUAAGUUGGGAUUUUUAUAUUAUCUGAAAAGUUCAUGUAGUUUAGUAUACCUCCUUUUGGAUCCAAUUAUCUGAUACAUGAUAUGGUGGAUCACUUAUAAAGCCAUAAUUGCUAAAUAAUAUUUCCUUCAUUUAAAAAAAUUUAGCCUCAAGUGCUUAGCUAUGUUAAAACUACUUUACCCAUUCAAGCAAUAUUAUAUUCUUUGUUAGAUUACUUAAUAAUAGGAAUUUUAUCUACUUUAUUUAUUUUUUUGUGUGUGUUUUUGUCUUUUUUUGAGGGCCACACUCAUGGCAUAUGGGUUCCCAGGCUAGGGGUCUAAUUGGAGCUGUUGCUGCCAGCCUACGCCAGAGCCACAGCAAUGCCAGAUCCGACCUUGUCUGUGACCUAUACCACAGCUCACGGCAAGGUCGGAUCCUUAACCCAUUGAGCGAGGCCAGGGAUCAAACCCACGACCUAGUCAGACUCGUUUCUGCUGUGCCACGACGGGAACGCCUAGGAAUUUUAUCUACUUUAAAUUACUUUUAGGGUGUGAAAUCUAAAAUAUAUGUCAUUAUCACAAAUUAAACAAUGCAGAUAUGUGUGAAAAGAAAUAUAAUAGAACAAAUGAAGUUAGAGAAAUAGGCAGAGGUCAGUUUAUGUGGGUCCCAGAUAAAGGAGUUUGGACUUUACUGCGUUUGGUGGGAAGCCAGUGGAAGAUUUUAGGCAGGAGAAUAACAUGAUCUGAUUUAAGUUUUAAGAAAAUCCUGGAGUUCCUGUCAUGCCGCAGUGGUUAACAAAUCUGACUAGGAACCAUGAGGUGGUAGGUUCGAUCCCUGGCCUUGCUCAGUGGGUUAAGGAUCCAGCGUUGCCAUGAGCUGUGGUGUAGGUUGAACAUGGCUCAACCCCCAUGUUGCUGUGGCUCUGGUGUAGGCCAGUGGCUACAGCUCCAAUUGGAACCCUAGCCUGGGAACCUCCAUAUGCCUCGGGAAGCAGCCCUAGAAAAGACAAAAAAAAAAAAAAAAA
ensembl:lncRNA